CAUCUGGUUGCUGAAUCUGAUUCCCUAUGACUCUAAUGAAUAACUUGCAGCUAUAAAUGCUCCCACCCAGAUAACUAACUUCUCUCAAGCAAUUCUCAAUACUUCUUUGCAGUUAAGAAGACCUUGAGAGCCAAAAAGACCAAAUGGCAUCCCUGAAGGCAGAGAAACCUGCGUGUACUACUCAGGUUCCCGUAGGUCAGCCCAAUAAGGAACUACCUAAGGCUACUGACGUUAAACCCAAGGCCCUCUCUACAAGGCCAGCUACAAAGGUGGAACAGAAGCCUCGUGCACCAACUAAAGUUCAGGCUAAAGUUGGAAAACCAGCAGGAAAAAAUUAAGAACAGCAUAAGUAGUAAGAGGUGUCACAUAGAACAGCAGAAGGCUCUUUAUCAACAUCCAGUUACUCUAAUAAAAUUAUCAUAAACCUCAGAUCAGGUUGUUAUGUAAUGUUUAUGCUAGUUUGCCUACAGCAAUAAAAUACAGCCUUAUUAUAA